AUGUUCCGAAUUUGCAGUGUCCUCCUGCUGAUUUCCACUCUGAUCUCCGAGGAGGUGACUGGAGAAGGCGAAUUGAAGCAACUUCCUCCCUGGAUGGUUGUGACUGAACUGGGAAUUGUGUCAAUGAAUUGCUCUUUUGGCACUACAUUUAACACAGUGCGUUGGUACAGACAGCUCCCGAAUCAGCCACCCCAGCAUCUGAUGAUGGCGAAAAGGGAAGCUAACCCAUCCGAGAGGAUCACCGCUUCGAUCAGUGCAGACGACAAAGUCAGUGUCCUGACUGUGAAAGACGCCAGACUUAAUGACACCGCCACUUACCUCUGUGCAGAGAGGGCACAGUGUCACAACAAGUGGUUGAGACUGUACUAA